UAUUGGGCAAUGGGGGAAACCCUGACCCAGCGACGCCGCGUGAGGGAAGAAGGUUUUCGGAUNGUAAACCUCUGUCCUUGGUGACNNUANNNANGGUAGCCAAGGAGGAAGCCACGGCUAACUACGUGCCNNNAGACGCGGUAAUACGUAGGUGGCGAGCGUUGUCCGGAAUUACUGGGUGUAAAGGGAGCGUAGGCGGGAGAGCAAGUCGACUGUGAAAUCUAUGGGCUUAACCCAUAGCUGCGAUCGAAACUGUUCAUCUUGAGUGAAGUAGAGGCAGGCGGAAUUCCUAGUGUAGCGGUGAAAUGCGUAAAUAUUAGGAGGAACACCGGUGGCGAAGGCGGCCUGCUGGGCUUUAACUGACGCUGAGGCUCGAAAGCGUGGGUAGCAAACAGG
rnacentral:rRNA from 1 species